CCUACGGGAGGCAGCAGUAGGGAAUCUUGCGCAAUGGGCGAAAGCCUGACGCAGCCAUGCCGCGUGAAUGAUGAAGGUCUUAGGAUUGUAAAAUUCUUUCACCGGGGACGAUAAUGACGGUACCCGGAGAAGAAGCCCCGGCUAACUUCGUGCCAGCAGCCGCGGUAAUACGAAGGGGGCUAGCGUUGCUCGGAAUUACUGGGCGUAAAGGGAGCGUAGGCGGAUAGUUUAGUCAGAGGUGAAAGCCCAGGGCUCAACCUUGGAACUGCCUUUGAUACUGGCUAUCUUGAGUAUGGGAGAGGUGAGUGGAACUCCGAGUGUAGAGGUGAAAUUCGUAGAUAUUCGGAAGAACACCAGUGGCGAAGGCGACUCACUGGCCCAUUACUGACGCUGAGGCUCGAAAGCGUGGGGAGCAAACAGGAUUAGAUACCCUGGUAGUCCACGCCGUAAACGAUGAGUGCUAGUUGUCGGCAUGCAUGCAUGUCGGUGACGCNGCUACGACAUAGACGACUCCGCCGUGGGAGGUACGGUCGCGAGUAAGUUAAACUACGUUAAAGAAGUAGUUACGGCGUGAGACGNGCCGACGGACGACGACGAGGGAGGAGG
rnacentral:rRNA from 1 species